CCUCAGUAGCACGUGGGGGUCUGCUGCUGCUCCUGCUGGUCUUGGUGGUUUGUUUGGUUGUCAGGAGAAGACGACGAGCCAAGCAGCCAGAAACCCUCGUCCAAACUCAAUUGUCUGUCAGAGGCAGCAACCAUUGUGAAGAUGAUGAGAAGGAGGAGGACUAUGUGAAUGUUGAUUCAGUAUGCACCAAGGGGAAACUCAAAGAGGAAGCAGGGAGAGGGGAAGAAGAGGAGAGUGAUGAAGAUCAUGAUUAUGAGGAUGCUGGCACCAAUGCAAAUUCUAUAAAGGCCACAGUGAUCUGUUUCAGUGUAAACGACAACAGAGAAGAAGAACAAGCAGAAGAAAAAGAAGAAGAAAGCAGUGAUGAUGAAGAUCAUAAUUAUGAGGAAGUUGGCCCCGAUGCAAAUUCUAUAAAGGCCACAGUGGUCUGUUUCAGUGUAGGACAACAGAGAAGAACAAGCAAAAAAAGAAGGAAGCAGUGAUGAUGAACUAUGUAAAUGUAACCCAGCCAUUUGUUGAAGAAAAUGUGGACAUUUAUGGAGAAAAUGAAGAUUUAGAUAUAUAUUAACUACCAUCCACUGCUGUAGAUCAAAUUUGUUUAAAAUAUUUUAAUAAAUCAGACGAGUCAAAAACAACUAUACACUUGGUUUUUUAUAAGCCAAUCUGUAGCUUCCUAUACCAAGUUAUUGUAGGCGUGGCCUGUUAGACAUAAACUCUGUGCAAAACAUGUGCAUAUCAUCUUUCUUUGUCGUCCAGGUGCUGAGACCAAAAACUGAUUCUGUCCUCCGAGGGCUCGCAGCCCAGUUCUGGACUUGGAUUUUGCCAGUUUCUACUACCUGAGAGUUUUGUUCAUGCAUGCUGUUUUGGAUUAAAAUCCCCUGAACUGUA